rnacentral:rRNA from 1 species
ACAUUUGUAGCAAUACAGAGUWGUUUAGUGGCGAACGGGUGCGUAACACGUGGGSAAUCUGCCGAGAAGUGGGGGAUAGCUCGCCGAAAGGCGAAUUAAUACCGCAUAUGAUCAGGGAAGACAUCUUYCCRACAUCAAAGCCGGGGUAACCUGGCGCUUCUUGAUGASCCCGCGGCCUAUCAGCUAGUUGGUGAGGUAACGGCYCACCAAGGCWAUGACGGGUAGCUGGUCUGAGAGGACGACCAGUCACACUGGAACUGAGACACGGUCCAGACACCUACGGGUGGCAGCAGUCGAGAAUUUUUCUCAAUGGGGGMAACCCUGAAGGAGCGACGCCGCGUGGAGGAUGAAGGCUUUCGGGUUGUAAACUCCUGUCAUUUGAGAACAAGGUGCACMGGUUAACUGCYGGURCAUUGAUAGUAUCAGAAGAGGAAGRGACGGCUAACUCUGUGCCAGCAGCCGCGGUAAUACAGAGGUCYCAAGCGUUGUUCGGAUUCAUUGGGCGUAAAGGGUGCGUAGGUGGCGYCGUAAGUCGGGUGUGAAAUCUCGGGGCUUAACUNCCGAAACUGCAUUCGAUACUGCGGUGCUUGAGGGC